rnacentral:tRNA from 1 species
GCGGGAUGGAGCAGUCUGGUAGCUCGUCGGGCUCAUAACCCGAAGGUCGCAGGUU